CGGUAGUUUUUAGAGUUUAGGGAAUACGCAGAAAGACUGGUUUGUAAAGUUAUUAUUUAUAACACAGAGAAUCCCAAGAAAUCGUCAGAUAAAGACAACAGUAACAAAGCCUGGUCGAUACACGACGUGUGUACUGUGAACGUGAAGGAGCAUACACACUCGUAAUUAUCAGAUCUCAUCCGAGGCGAGGGGAGAGGGGAAGAAAAAGAAAGGAAAGAGAAAUGAAGUACAAAACGGGGAUCUAAAAAUAGCCCAAGAUACACUAGUAUAUCAGCUUGAGGGGGUGAGGGGGAAGGUAUGGGAUGAGGACGAAGCGGGGCGCCGCGAGUAAAGCUACUCCAGCUGGUCGCGGGAUCUGGCGGCGUGUGGCAACGGCCGGGUUGCCGGGACGCCGCAUUCCAGCCCCGAAUAUUGGCAACGUGGAGAGCGCGCGUGUCAGUGCGUCUAAGGUCGGGCGAGGGAGAGGACACGCCCACUUUUUGUGCCGACUGCUCCCUCUUCUUUCUCCCCACGACCCAUCUGCUUGGAUAAAUUCCUGGAUAUUUUUUUUGAGUGUGUGUAAAGAGAUUUGCAAAAGAAAAGAUAAAGAAAUACAGGCUUUUACAGGUUGCAAUAAGAGAGAGACGAUUGGCAAGCGUUGUUGGAAAGAACAAAGCGUCAGAGUGUAGACGCGAGAACGGAUAUCACAGCAGGAGAAAACUUGCCUACCAAGGCGGCAACGAAGGCGCCCCUCGCCCGAGGACGCCGCCGCUGGCCCUUUGCGGACGUCGAGCCGCUGGUGGCUGCUUGCG